GCACCCGUAGUGAAAUGGAUAUCAUACCGGUCUUCGGAACCGUUGUUGGGGGUUCGAAUCCCUCCGGGUGCACAA
rnacentral:tRNA from 1 species